ACCUGGCUGGCUCAGUCAGUAGAGCAUGUGACUCUUGUUCUCGGGGUCGUGAGUUCAAGUCCCAUGGUGGGUG
rnacentral:tRNA from 1 species